AAAAUUUUAAUGAAAGUUGUAGUAAAUAUCCUUAGGAAUGACAUAUCAAAAUUUGAGACCAAAUGGUUAAGGUUAAGGUGGUGAAACGAUAUUUCUUCUGUAGGUACUAAAUCUGAGAGUUGCUGCAGAAUUUUGAGGAAAAGACAACAAAUUACCGCUCUUAAUACACUGAGAUUUAGGCUUAGGUUUCUUCAUGAAAAAUGUUAAUCUAUGUCUCUUCUAUAACAUACUCAAAUUUCAUAACAUUCUGAUAAGGUUAGAUAUAUUUUAUGUGUUUGUGAUUGAAACUGCUCAUUUCAGUUUAUAGACUGCUUUGAUCCGAGAAUGUGCAAAAGUUGCUAUGUCGCCUUUAAUGAGAGUUCCUAUAUAUUUUGAAGUAUUUAAUGAUGUGUGUUUAGACCUAUUUGUGGUUGUUCACAUGCUGAGGUUGUUGGUGCUGUAAUAAGAGAAUUGUGAAUGUGUGAAGUUGGCUAAAAGCCAAUGUGAGACCCCGGGUGUCGGGAUGCGUGGAGAGGGGUGACGAAGAGUAGUG
rnacentral:lncRNA from 1 species